AUGUGUAGCUGGAACCUUACUACAUCUGGGUCUUUCACUGUAGACUCUAUGUACCGUGCGCUCACACAUUCUGAGGUACCUGUUAGUAAUAAUAAGAAAAUUUGGAAAUCCAAGAUUCCACUAAAAGUGAAAAUUUUCAUGUGGUAUCUUCAUAGGGGGGUUGUGUUAACUAAAGACAACCUCGCACGACACAACUGGCAAGGGAGUAAGAAGUGUUGUUUUUGUACUCAUGACGAGACAAUCAAACACCUCUUUUUUCAAUGCAAGUUUGCACGUUCUACGUGGUCAGUCAUCCAAACAACGUCAAAUUUGCAUCCACCCUCAAGUGUUGCCAAUAUUUUUGGUCAUUGGUUGGACGGUAUUCCAAAUAGUUUCAAAACGCUAAUAAGGGUGGGAGCGUAUGCCUUAAUUUGGUCGCUUUGGCUAUGUAGAAAUGAUUUGAUUUUCAAUGAAAAAAUGCUUCUUCUUUGCAGGUUAUUUUCUGGUGUACGCACUCGCUACGUCCGUGGUCUAUUCUACAACGACCGGAGUACCAACCGCUGUUCAAGGCGGUGUGUACGCGAUUGGAGCAGGUGGCUAUGGAGGUUUUUUCCCGACAUGGGUGGCAGCAUAAUCUUCGGAUCGACCCACCACCUCCUUCGACAUAGGCAUAGUGUCGGUCUAUAG
rnacentral:rRNA from 1 species